AUUGAACGCUGGCGGCAGGCUUAACACAUGCAAGUCGAGCGGAGAUGAGGUGCUUGCACCUUAUCUUAGCGGCGGACGGGUGAGUAAUGCUUAGGAAUCUGCCUAUUAGUGGGGGACAACAUUCCGAAAGGAAUGCUAAUACCGCAUACGUCCUACGGGAGAAAGCAGGGGAUCUUCGGACCUUGCGCUAAUAGAUGAGCCUAAGUCGGAUUAGCUAGUUGGUGAGGUAAAGGCCUACCAAGGCGAGGAUCUGUAGCGGGUCUGAGAGGAUGAUCCGCCACACGGGGACUGGGACGCGGCCCAGACUCCUACGGGAGGCAGCAGUGGGGAAUAUUGGACAAUGGGGGGAACCCUGAUCCAGCCAUGCCGCGUGUGUGAAGAAGGCCUUAUGGUUGUAGAGCACUUUAAGCGAGGAGGAGGCUACUGAGACUAAUACUCUUGGAUAGUGGACGUUACUCGCAGAAUAAGCACCGGCUAACUCUGUGCCAGCAGCAGCCGCGGUAA
rnacentral:rRNA from 1 species